UGGGUUAAUGUGAAAUUCUCAUUAAAAGGAGAAACAAAACACAAGGCUACAUUCUGCAGCUCAGGGAAAAUGGGUUUGUGUCCUGUUGAUGGAGAACGCCUACACACUACAGAUGUGAUAGAUAACUAGAUGAAUAUCAGGGAUGCUGCAAGUGGA